CGUGUAGGCGGCUAAUUAAGUCAGAUGUGAAAGCCCUGGGCUCAACCCAGGAAGUGCAUUUGAAACUAAUUAGCUAGAGUACGAGAGAGGAAGGUGGAAUUCCUGGUGUAGAGGUGAAAUUCAUAGAUAUCGGGAAGAAUACCGGUGGCGAAGGCGGCCUUCUGGCUCGAUACUGACGCUGAGACGCGAAAGCGUGGGGAGCAAACA
rnacentral:rRNA from 1 species